rnacentral:rRNA from 1 species
GACGAACGCUGGUGGCGUGCUUAACACAUGCAAGUCGAACGAUGAAGCCGGAGCUUGCUCUGGUGAAUUAGUGGCGAACGGGUGAGUGACACGUGAGUAACCUGCCCUUGACUCUGGGAUAACUGCUAGAAAUGGUAGCUAAUACCGGAUACGACCCUCGGAGGCAUCUCCAGGGGGUGGAAAGAAUUUCGGUCAAGGAUGGACUCGCGGCCUAUCAGCUAGUUGGGGAGGUAACGGCUCACCAAGGCGACGACGGGUAGCCGGCCUGAGAGGGUGACCGGCCACACUGGGACUGAGACACGGCCCAGACUCCUACGGGAGGCAGCAGUGGGGAAUAUUGCACAAUGGGCGCAAGCCUGAUGCAGCAACGCCGCGUGAGGGAUGACGGCCUUCGGGUUGUAAACCUCUUUUAGUAGGGAAGAAGCGAAAGUGACGGUACCUGCAGAAAAAGCACCGGCUAACUACGUGCCAGCCGCCGCGGUAA